rnacentral:rRNA from 1 species
AUUGAACGCUGGCGGCAGGCUUAACACAUGCAAGUCGAGCGGGGAAAGGUAGCUUGCUACCUGACCUAGCGGCGGACGGGUGAGUAAUGCUUAGGAAUCUGCCUAUUAGUGGGGGACAACAUUCCGAAAGGAAUGCUAAUACCGCAUACGCCCUACGGGGGAAAGCAGGGGAUCUUCGGACCUUGCGCUAAUAGAUGAGCCUAAGUCAGAUUAGCUAGUUGGUGGGGUAAAGGGCUACCAAGGCGACGAUCUGUAGCGGGUCUGAGAGGAUGAUCCGCCACACGGGGACUGAGACACGGCCCAGACUCCGACGGGAGGCAGCAGUGGGGAAUAUUGGACAAUGGGCGAAAGCCUGAUCCAGCCAUGCCGCGUGUGUGAAGAAGGCCUUUUGGUUGUAAAGCACUUUAAGCGAGGAGGAGGCUACCGAGAUUAAUACUCUUGGAUAGUGGACGUUACUCGCAGAAUAAGCACCGGCUAACUCUGUGCCAGCCGCCGCCGUAA